GAAGAUGUAACGGGGCUAAACCAUGCACCGAAGCUGCGGCAGCGACGCUUAUGCGUUGUUGGGUAGGGGAGCGUUCUGUAAGCCUGCGAAGGUGGCCUGUGAGGGUUGCUGGAGGUAUCAGAAGUGCGAAUGCUGACAUAAGUAACGAUAAAGCGGGUGAAAAGCCCGCUCGCCGGAAGACCAAGGGUUCCUGUCCAACGUUAAUCGGGGCAGGGUGAGUCGACCCCUAAGGCGAGGCCGAAAGGCGUAGUCGAUGGGAAACGGGUUAAUAUUCCCGUACUUGGUGUUACUGCGAAGGGGGGACGGAGAAGGCUAUGUUGGCCGGGCGACGGUUGUCCCGGUUUAAGCGUGUAGGUGUGUGUUCCAGGUAAAUCCGGUUCACUUUAACACUGAGGCGUGACGACGAGGCACUACGGUGCUGAAGCAACAAAUGCCCUGCUUCCAGGAAAAGCCUCUAAGCAUCAGGUAACAUCAAAUCGUACCCCAAACCGACACAGGUGGUCAGGUAGAGAAUACCAAGGCGCUUGAGAGAACUCGGGUGAAGGAACUAGGCAAAAUGGUGCCGUAACUUCGGGAGAAGGCACGCUGACACGUAGGUGAAGUGAUUUACUCAUGGAGCUGAAGUCAGUCGAAGAUACCAGCUGGCUGCAACUGUUUAUUAAAAACACAGCACUGUGCAAACACGAAAGUGGACGUAUACGGUGUGACGCCUGCCCGGUGCCGGAAGGUUAAUUGAUGGGGUCAGCGCAAGCGAAGCUCCUGAUCGAAGCCCCGGUAAACGGCGGCCGUAACUAUAACGGUCCUAAGGUAGCGAAAUUCCUUGUCGGGUAAGUUCCGACCUGCACGAAUGGCGUAAUGAUGGCCAGGCUGUCUCCACCCGAGACUCAGUGAAAUUGAACUCGCUGUGAAGAUGCAGUGUACCCGCGGCAAGACGGAAAGACCCCGUGAACCUUUACUAUAGCUUGACACUGAACAUUGAGCCUUGAUGUGUAGGAUAGGUGGGAGGCUUUGAAGUGUGGACGCCAGUCUGCAUGGAGCCGACCUUGAAAUACCACCCUUUAAUGUUUGAUGUUCUAACGUGGACCCGUUACCCGGGUUGCGGACAGUGUCUGGUGGGUAGUUUGACUGGGGCGGUCUCCUCCUAAAGAGUAACGGAGGAGCACGAAGGUUGGCUAAUCCUGGUCGGACAUCAGGAGGUUAGUGCAAUGGCAUAAGCCAGCUUGACUGCGAGCGUGACGGCGCGAGCAGGUGCGAAAGCAGGUCAUAGUGAUCCGGUGGUUCUGAAUGGAAGGGCCAUCGCUCAACGGAUAAAAGGUACUCCGGGGAUAACAGGCUGAUACCGCCCAAGAGUUCAUAUCGACGGCGGUGUUUGGCACCUCGAUGUCGGCUCAUCACAUCCUGGGGCUGAAGUAGGUCCCAAGGGUAUGGCUGUUCGCCAUUUAAAGUGGUACGCGAGCUGGGUUUAGAACGUCGUGAGACAGUUCGGUCCCUAUCUGCCGUGGGCGCUGGAGAACUGAGGGGGGCUGCUCCUAGUACGAGAGGACCGGAGUGGACGCAUCACUGGUGUUCGGGUUGUCAUGCCAAUGGCACUGCCCGGUAGCUAAAUGCGGAAGAGAUAAGUGCUGAAAGCAUCUAAGCACGAAACUUGCCCCGA
rnacentral:rRNA from 1 species